rnacentral:rRNA from 1 species
ACACAUGCAAGUCGAACGAGCGAGAGAGAGCUUGCUUUCUCGAGCGAGUGGCGAACGGGUGAGUAACGCGUGAGGAACCUGCCUCAAAGAGGGGGACAACAGUUGGAAACGACUGCUAAUACCGCAUAAGCCCACGGCUCGGCAUCGAGCAGAGGGAAAAGGAGCAAUCCGCUUUGAGAUGGCCUCGCGUCCGAUUAGCUAGUUGGUGAGGUAACGGCCCACCAAGGCGACGAUCGGUAGCCGGACUGAGAGGUUGAACGGCCACAUUGGGACUGAGACACGGCCCAGACUCCUACGGGAGGCAGCAGUGGGGAAUAUUGCACAAUGGGGGAAACCCUGAUGCAGCGACGCCGCGUGGAGGAAGAAGGUCUUCGGAUUGUAAACUCCUGUUGUUGGGGAAGAUAAUGACGGUACCCAACAAGGAAGUGACGGCUAACUACGUGCCAGCAGCCGCGGUAAAACGUAGGUCACAAGCGUUGUCCGGAAUUACUGGGUGUAAAGGGAGCGCAGGCGGGAAGACAAGUUGGAAGUGAAAUCUAUGGGCUCAACCCAUAAACUGCUUUCAAAACUGUUUUUCUUGAGUAGUGCAGAGGUAGGCGGAAUUCCCGGUGUAGCGGUGGAAUGCGUAGAUAUCGGGAGGAACACCAGUGGCGAAGGCGGCCUACUGGGCACCAACUGACGCUGAGGCUCGAAAGUGUGGGUAGCAAACAGGAUUAGAUACCCUGGUAGUCCACACCGUAAACGAUGAUUACUAGGUGUUGGAGGAUUGACCCCUUCAGUGCCGCAGUUAACACAAUAAGUAAUCCACCUGGGGAGUACGACCGCAAGGUUGAAACUCAAAGGAAUUGACGGGGG